rnacentral:rRNA from 1 species
CCUACGGGAGGCAGCAGUGAGGAAUAUUGGUCAAUGGUCGGGAGACUGAACCAGCCAAGCCGCGUGAGGGAUGAAGGUACAGAGGAUCGUAAACCUCUUUUGUCAGGGAACAAAGGCGGGGACGUGUCCCCGGAUGAGUGUACCUGAAGAAAAAGCAUCGGCUAACUCCGUGCCAGCAGCCGCGGUAAUACGGAGGAUGCGAGCGUUAUCCGGAUUUAUUGGGUUAAAGGGGUGCGCAGGCGGUCUGUUAAGUCAGCGGUCAAACCCCGGGGCUCAACCCCGGCCCGCCGUUGAAACUGGCAGUCUCGAGUUGGCGAGAAGUAUGCGGAAUGCGCGGUGUAGCGGUGAAAUGCAUAGAUAUCGCGCAGAACUCCGAUUGCGAAGGCAGCAUGCCGGCUCCACACUGACGCUGAGGCACGAAAGCGUGGGUAUCGAACAGGAUUAGAUACCCUAGUAGUC